UACGGAGGGUGCUAGCGUUGUUCGGAAUUACUGGGCGUAAAGCGCACGUAGGCGGCUUUGUAAGUUAGAGGUGAAAGCCCGGGGCUCAACUCCGGAAUUGCCUUUAAGACUGCAUCGCUAGAGUUGUGGAGAGGUAAGUGGAAUUCCGAGUGUAGAGGUGAAAUUCGUAGAUAUUCGGAAGAACACCAGUGGCGAAGGCGACUUACUGGACACAUACUGACGCUGAGGUGCGAAAGCGUGGGGAGCAAACAGG
rnacentral:rRNA from 1 species